rnacentral:rRNA from 1 species
AGAGUUUGAUCCUGGCUCAGGAUGAACGCUGGCGGCGUGCUUAAUACAUGCAAGUCGAACGAAGCACUUUCAAUGGAGACUCCGGUCAAAAUUGGUUGUGACUUAGUGGCGGACGGGUGAGUAACGCGUGGAUAACCUGCCUCAUACAGGGGGAUAACAGUUAGAAAUGACUGCUAAUACCGCAUAAGCGCACGGUAUCGCAUGAUACAGUGUGAAAAGCCGAGACGGUAUGAGAUGGACCCGCGUUAGAUUAGCCAGUUGGCGGGGUAACGGCCCACCAAAGCGACGAUCUAUAGCCGGCCUGAGAGGGCGACCGGCCACAUUGGGACUGAGACACGGCCCAAACUCCUACGGGAGGCAGCAGUGGGGAAUAUUGCACAAUGGGGGAAACCCUGAUGCAGCGACGCCGCGUGAACGAAGAAGUAUUUCGGUAUGUAAAGUUCUAUCAGCAGGGAAGAAAAUGACGGUACCUGACUAAGAAGCCCCGGCUAACUACGUGCCAGCAGCCGCGGUAAUACGUAGGUGGCAAGCGUUGUCCGGAUUUACUGGGUGUAAAGGGCGCGUAGGCGGGUCUGCAAGUCAGAUGUGAAAUACCGAGGCUUAACUUCGGAACUGCAUCUGAAAACUGUAGAUCCUUGAGUACUGGAGAGGAAAGUGGAAUUCCUAGUGUAGCGGUGAAAUGCGUAGAUAUUAGGAGGAACACCGGUGGCGAAGGCGGCUUUCUGGACAGUAACUGACGCUGAGGCGCGAAAGCAUGGGGAGCAAACAGGAUUAGAUACCCUGGUAGUCCAUGCCGUAAACGAUGAAUACUAGGUGUAGGGGGUAUUAACUCCCUCUGUGCCGCAGUUAACACAAUAAGUAUUCCACCUGGGGAGUACGACCGCAAGGUUGAAACUCAAAGGAAUUGACGGGGACCCGCACAAGCAGUGGAGUAUGUGGUUUAAUUCGAAGCAACGCGAAGAACCUUACCAAGGCUUGACAGCCUACUGAAUAACCUGGAAACAGGUUAGGCCUUCGGGACAGUGGGUACAGGUGGUGCAUGGUUGUCGUCAGCUCGUGUCGUGAGAUGUUGGGUUAAGUCCCGCAACGAGCGCAACCCUUGUCAUUAGUUGCCAGCAUUAAGUUGGGCACUCUAGUGAGACUGCCGGUGAGAAAUCGGAGGAAGGUGGGGACGACGUCAAAUCAUCAUGCCCCUUAUGUCUUGGGCUACACACGUGCUACAAUGGCGUAAACAAAGAGAAGCGAACCUGUGAGGGCAAGCAAAUCUCAAAAAUAACGUCUCAGUUCGGACUGUAGUCUGCAACUCGACUACACGAAGCUGGAAUCGCUAGUAAUCGCAGAUCAGAAUGCUGCGGUGAAUACGUUCCCGGGUCUUGUACACACCGCCCGUCA